rnacentral:rRNA from 1 species
AACGGAAAGGCCCUGCUUGCAGGGUACUCGAGUGGCGAACGGGUGAGUAACACGUGGGUGAUCUGCCCUGCACUUCGGGAUAAGCUUGGGAAACUGGGUCUAAUACCGGAUAGGAGCCAUCUUUAGUGUGGUGGUUGGAAAGUUUUUUCGGUGUAGGAUGAGCUCGCGGCCUAUCAGCUUGUUGGUGGGGUAAUGGCCUACCAAGGCGGCGACGGGUAGCCGGCCUGAGAGGGUGUACGGCCACAUUGGGACUGAGAUACGGCCCAGACUCCUACGGGAGGCAGCAGUGGGGAAUAUUGCACAAUGGGCGCAAGCCUGAUGCAGCGACGCCGCGUGGGGGAUGAAGGCCUUCGGGUUGUAAACUCCUUUCGCUAGGGACGAAGCUUUGUGUGACGGUACCUAGAUAAGAAGCACCGGCUAACUACGUGCCAGCAGCCGCGGUAAUACGUAGGGUGCGAGCGUUGUCCGGAAUUACUGGGCGUAAAGAGCUCGUAGGUGGCUUGUCGCGUCGUCUGUGAAAUUCUGGGGCUUAACUCCGGGCGUGCAGGCGAUACGGGCAUAACUUGAGUGCUGUAGGGGUAACUGGAAUUCCUGGUGUAGCGGUGAAAUGCGCAGAUAUCAGGAGGAACACCGAUGGCGAAGGCAGGUUACUGGGCAGUUACUGACGCUGAGGAGCGAAAGCAUGGGUAGCGAACAGG